AUGGAAUAAAAGGGGAAUCUUCUGGAGUGUCGGUCUCAGGCUGUUACAACUCUCCUAGACUAACACGAGAUCUCGCCCCGAGAUCUAAGAAUUAAAGGGAAGAGGAAGAGGUAAAACUCAGGUGCUUCUAUGACAAACGAGUGAAACCAAUGAAACUUAGAGGUUGCGAAGAGAUGAAGAAUGACAUGAGGAACAAGCAGGAAUUCAAUAGAAAUUUUGACAACACUUCGGUAGGAAAUUGAGGACAAAAUUUGAUAAGAUGGAAAGAUCUUGACAAGAUUCACAACAAACCAACUAAAUUGAUAAGCAAGGAAAGAACAUGAAAUAAUACAUAACCUCUGGUUAAAU
rnacentral:lncRNA from 1 species